rnacentral:sRNA from 1 species
UCCCAAGAGUGCUGCGUGUUCUCUGUCGUUGUCCUGUAGCUGGCUUUAUAAUCGUUUUGAACUAUCUGACCAUAAGCCCUGGACCAAUAAGGCCGCUGCCUCCUUUUGGCGGCAAAGGCCCGGCUGUGGCCAUAAUCAGUGCACAAUCAGGCCAACGGUCCGACGGAGCGGAUGGGGGCCAAAGGGUGAAAAAGGGUGGUCUCGUCGGCAGACAGUUGCAAUGCAACGCAAUGUUACGUGACGCCCGAAACGCAUUAUGUCAUAUCGCUGAUUGAACCAACGAAGCGAGCCACCGGCCACCGAGCGCUGAACACUCCUGAACUGGCGAAAUGCUGUUGGCCUAGAACAAAAGGCCACAGAAGGCAGGAGAGUGCCGAGAGUCAUCCCAGUGGUCAUUAAAAUUGUAUAUUUUAAUUUGAUUUUGCUCUUGCAAUUUCCAUUGGCAAUAAUAAUCAUGUAACGAGACAACAAACUCAUGCACGGCAUCUCUUGAUCAUUGCUAAGCGGAUGAUGAGAGAGAGAGAGAGAGAGAGCGAGAGAGGGAGAGAGAGAGCAAGGGGCGAGGAGCAGCAGGGGCAGCAGCUUAUAAGGCUAUUAUAUCAAUCGAGCCUAAGCCAUGAUUGCGCGGAAAUCCCCCCCGUCUCCAUAUCCUAACCCCUUUUGGACCGCUGCUUGACGCAAUUGAAAAGACAAAUCCUCGUUGUCUUCUUUUGAUGCAUCAGCAACAACUGCACCAGCAGGAGCAACAUCAGCAACGGACGCGCCUGCUGCAUCUAGCGCCAAUUGUAUCUGAAGAGCGGAGAGUCUUUGUAUCUGGUUAUCUGUAUCUUCAACUCCUCCUUGUCAGUGGUGGCCUUUCGUCGUGGCCUGUGCGGACAAUAUCGACCAUGAUUGAACGCGAGUUAUCUUUCAGGACUUAGGCGUUGUCUCUUUUCCAAUCCCAAUCGCAGAAGCAGCAGCAAUCGUAUGACACAAAAGGAGGUCACACACAAGGACUCAGCGACUGUCAGCGGCUUAUCCAUCCUCCCCCCUCUCACCAGUCUUUCGUGAAGGAUGUGUGAAGAUAAUUGUCAAGGUUCACGGCUGCCUGACUCGAUGAUUA